GACGUAGGGCGCGAGCGUUGUCCGGAUUUAUUGGGCGUAAAGAGCUCGUAGGCGGCUUGUCGCGUCGUCCGUGAAAACUCACAGCUCAACUGUGAGCUUGCGGUCGAUACGGGCAGGCUAGAGUUCGGUAGGGGAGACUGGAAUUCCUGGUGUAGCGGUGAAAUGCGCAGAUAUCAGGAGGAACACCGGUGGCGAAGGCGGGUCUCUGGGCAACAACUGACGCUGAGGAGCGAAAGCGUGGGGAGCGAACAGG
rnacentral:rRNA from 1 species